GCGAACGCUGGCGGCAGGCCUAACACAUGCAAGUCGAACGGAUCCUUCGGGAUUAGUGGCGGACGGGUGAGUAACACGUGGGAACGUGCCCUUUGGUUCGGAACAACUCAGGGAAACUUGAGCUAAUACCGGAUGUGCCCUUCGGGGGAAAGAUUUAUCGCCAUUGGAGCGGCCCGCGUCUGAUUAGCUAGUUGGUGAGGUAACGGCCCACCAAGGCGACGAUCAGUAGCUGGUCUGAGAGGAUGAUCAGCCACACUGGGACUGAGACACGGCCCAGACUCCCACGGGAGGCAGCAGUGAGGAAUCUUGCGCAAUGGGCGAAAGCCUGACGCAGCCAUGCCGCGUGAAUGAUGAAGGUCUUAGGAUUGUAAAAUUCUUUCAGCGGGGACGAUAAUGACGGUACCCGCAGAAGAAGCUCCGGCUAACUUCGUG
rnacentral:rRNA from 1 species